rnacentral:rRNA from 1 species
GUCCACGCCCUAAACGAUGUCAACUAGUUGUCGGGGAAGUUAUUCCUUGGUAACGAAGCUAACGCGUGAAGUUGACCGCCUGGGGAGUACGGCCGCAAGGUUAAAACUCAAAGGAAUUGACGGGGACCCGCACAAGCGGUGGAUUAUGUGGAUUAAUUCGAUGCAACGCGAAAAACCUUACCUACCCUUGACAUGUACGGAAGCUCGCAGAGAUGUGAGUGUGCCCGAAAGGGAACCGUAACACAGGUGCUGCAUGGCUGUCGU